rnacentral:lncRNA from 1 species
ACCACCUUGCGCAUGGCCACAGGGGACGAAGCAGCUGCUAAGCGUCCUACGUGGGCGUUACAAUACUAAUACCAACUUACAGUGAUCAACGUUUCAGUUUCUUCAAUAUUUCAAGCCUUUGGCUCAGAUCUAUGAAACUAAGACUGGGCAAGCAGUGAACAGAUGUAGAAUUCCUCUCCUUUAAAAAUCUGAUCAGGACUGUGCCUGGCUAAGAAUUUCAUAAUCUGGUGAGUACAUAUUCAAUGUUUACAUUAUAAUGCUAGUGAAUUAAGCUAU